UCCGGCUUUUCGCCGACAGUCUCCGUAGAGUGCCCAGCUUAACCUGAUGGCAACUACAGACAAGGGUUGCGCUCGUUGCGGGACUUAACCCAACAUCUCACGACACGAGCUGACGACAGCCAUGCAGCACCUCUCAAGCAGUCCCAAAGGGAACCCUGCAUCUCUGCAGGUCGCCGCUUGAGUUCAAACCCCGGUAAGGUUCUUCGCGUUGCGUCGAAUUAAACCACAUGCUCCACCGCUUGUGCGGGCCCCCGUCAAUUCCUUUGAGUUUCAGCCUUGCGGCCGUACUCCCCAGGCGGAACACUUAAUGAGUUAUCUCCGGCACGGAGGGACUCUUCUACCCCCCACACCCAGUGUUCAUCGUUUACAGCCAGGACUAC
rnacentral:misc_RNA from 1 species